GGCUGGUCCGAUGGUAGUGGGUUGAUUCAGAACUUAUUAAUAUCAGUGUCACUAAAGUUGGUAUACUACCUGACACUGCUAAACUUGACUGGCUUAAA
rnacentral:Y_RNA from 1 species